rnacentral:lncRNA from 1 species
AAACCUGGGUCUACUCAGGUAUAGAGCGACAUGACAGCGGUACUGAAGAAAUGUCUAUCUUGGUUUGCAACACCGCAUACUUUCUAUCGUAAUUUAUUUUCUAAAUGGAAAGUUCUCAACGUUAUCUCCAUAAAACUUCAAUGAUUUUCUUUCCUGUACAGCAUCAUAUGUUUCUAAUAUUUUUCAGGUGUCAUUGCCAUAAACAAACCAUACGGACUGAGGAAUGGGAUGAGAUUUGAAGAUCCUCUUGAUGCCAAGUUUAAGAAUGUCAAUCAUUUCAACUUUAGCCUUACAGAAGUCUUACCUUUACUUGCUAGCAUGCUAAAUGUCCCAGACUUGACUGUAGCUAGAAGCCCUGAAAAGUUUGCCAGUGGUGUGACCCUUCUGAAUGUUAAUAAUGAAGCUGGAAUCAAAAUUAGUAAAGCAGUGAAGCAUCCAACUUCCCCUGCUGUUUACAGCUAUCAAGCUGUGUGUCAUGGUGUUCCUCUACUUUCCUCAAACAAUGGUGAACGGUUAGGUCUCUCUACCAAUGAAAAUGACGGAUCUGUAAGUUGUUUAUUCUGUAUUGGUUGGGCACAGGGUGCUGCAUAAAAGAUUAGUCAUUUCAGCAAAAUCUUUCACAAAAUUUUUAGAUGCUGUGAAAUUUUGUCAUCCUUUGGUUCAGCAGGUCAAUGGGCCAGUGCGCUGGUCACAAAAUCGUGUUUUGAUGCUAGUUUCUUGUAGAUUAGCUAAAUACAAUAAGAUCUGCCCAAACCGUAACUUUCUACGUUCAAUAUCAACCGAGAUAUCGCCCUUUGAAGAGUCAGGUUUUUGACAUCAUCCACUGCAGCAGUGACACCCUUGAUUUCAUCCUCUUUUGUUUAAUCAUGGAUGCAGGAGACGUAAUGCGAAACCUCAAUGAACUAAACAUAAACAAACUUAAGAAACAGACGGAUUCAAGAUUCAAGGAUCUUCUUAUCCAGAGGUAACGCACUCGCCAUGAAGAGAUCAGGCGGUCAGUCAGUUCACCCCAGUUUGUUUAUGUUUAAUAUUGUUGAAGUUUCGCGUCGCGUCUCCUGCAUCACUGUUCAAACAAAAGAGGAAGAAACCAAGGGUGUCACUGCCGCGGUGGAUGACAUCAAAAACCUGACUUUUCAAAGUGCGAUAUCUCUAUUAAUAUUUCACGUAGAAAGAUGCGGUUUGAACAGAUCUUAUUAUUCUUAGCUAAUCUACAAAAAUUAAGCAUCAAAACAUGAUUCUGUAACCAGCGCAACUGACCUAUUGACCUAUUAGUUUUCAAAAGGGCCUAAGCGCCAUGCAAAAUCCAAAUUUCAAACAAAACAGGAAAAAGUGUGCCAUCCGGUGUGGGUUCAUUCUUUGAGGCCAAGUUUGGGCAGGUAUUCUUCAGACACAUGCAUUUUUUGGCCGCACAAGAUUGAGCAUAUCGAUGGCGUAAGUCAGCAAUCAUAUAUCUCGUUUUCGGUGUCUGAAAAUCUCCGCUUCUAUGUUAUUUUUAUAAAGAAGAACAAAUUGACAUCAUUCCUUGUAGUUCAUGCAGAAUUUUCUUUGCACAGAGGAAGGGGGAAGGCAGAUUACCGCUCCUGAAGGAGAGGAAUAGGAAAAGGAACUUAAAAAGUUAAAUCUGUUGGUGUGACUGUGUUUUAUACCAUAACAUUUCUUUUAUUUUUUCAGCUUAACAUUUGUGAAAUCUUUUCUGUCACUCUAAUUAUGUUAAUCAUCAUUACAGGUAAACUUUCAACAAAUCAAACUAAAAAAAAAUAAUAAAGAAAAAAAUGAAACAGAUUUAUUAUAAACACAAAGUUCUAAAUACAAAUCCAGACCUGAACUCAAGCCUUGUAGAAGUAUCAACAAAUCGGAUCUUAUGGUACUAUGUUCCAUUAUAUUUAGCUACAAGGCUGCUUACUCCUGUCAUAGGCGAUCAGAUUCAUGGGAAUUCAGUGCAGUAUUUAUUCGGGAAACCAGUUCUCCUACCUAUGUUUAAUGUCACUGGGUUCAACCCUCAGGUAAAAAAUUCAAUAUUUUCUAUAUUUUAAUCACAAAUUAAGUUGUAAAUGAGUUGGUAAUGUAAAAACGGCAUACUCUCAAACUUUCAUUUUUAAUGUUUGGCUGAUUUCUGUCAUUCAAAGAUAAAUUGAAAACAUUUCCACUACCAAGCAAAAUAAGAACUCUUAAAUAAUUUAAGUAGAAUGUUCUGCAGAAAAUUUCUCGAAUUCUGAUAGAGGCAAAACUCAAGAUAAGAUAUAAAAUUUUCGCAGCACUUUUGAGCUUUCUAAUAUUUUCUCAGGAGAACAAUUCUAACAGAUUAUUUACCUAUCAUCUCAAAUGUUCUAGAAAAGCAUGCAACUUUAAGUGUGAUAUUCUUGCAAUUAUCUUCUCCAAAGAACUUACUCAGAGAGGUCUGAGUUAUCAGUGUUAGAACUGUUAGAAUCACCUCUGUCUAGUUCAGGGUACCACUGGGCAAUUGGGUAUAAAGAAAUUAAAAGGGGAUGUUUUCAUGUGAAGAAUCUUUGAAAGAGUUCAAUAACGUUAGUGAGUGAGGACUAUUUGUUCAUCGGCUUCCUUGAAAAUAGUAUAGUUUAUCAAAGAAAGUCAUAUUUCAUAUACUGUUUUAAAUUAUAUUUUACACUGAAUCUUGCCUCAACAACAGACAUUACAAUUUUUUCCCCAGACUUUGACUCUUAAAUUUUGUAGAAAUAUUGAUACCAUAUUGCACCCACCUCCAUCUCGGUGUAGAAAAUCAGAAAUCGCCAACUCCUCCUUUUUUUCUCUAUGACCAGUGGAUAUCACCCACACAUCGUUACUUAUAUGAUAAUAUUGCAGUCCAAUAUUUUAAUUUCGGAGUGUGUCAAGGUGGUUUUUCUGAAGAGAUUGACCAUGAAGAAAAGUCAGUGUUACAUAAAGUCAAAACAUGUUAUCUUAAAAUAAUCAUCUUCUGCCUCCAAACUUUCAAUUCCUCUUUUGUCAUCAAUUUUUUGAUACUUCAGGUCGUGGUGGUACUCUGCUCAAAAUUAAUAUUUUUAAUAGUGGCAACUAUUACUCAGAUCAUUUUUCAGGAAGACAAAGAUGAUUUUUCAUCGUCAAGGAAACUGGCGAUCUCUAAUUCUUCGCCCCAAAACAAUGUUACUCUAACUUAAAAUUAUUUAAUAAUUCUGUAUUUACAUAUUGAUAUUUAAAGGCAGUUUUACUAUCUCAUUACUUUGAUCAAGAACUAUCAUGUCCAAAGUAGUGUUACACUUAUAAUUCUAUUUCCCAUUUUUUAUUUCAGAAAUUGCCUGAAGACAUUUGCAAGAGGUUGGAAAUUGAUGUAACUGAUAGCCUGCUAAUUCCGAAUCACCUUCAUUUGUCGUCUGUAACGUUAUAUCAUCUUUCUAGAAAGGAAGCAAAACAUCUUACAAUACAUGCACCUCCUCCACCUCACUUUCAAUGGACCUGCUCUCAGCUUAGGUUGUGGAAUGAACCAGAAAAUCUUUUACCGGUUGAGGUAGCUUUUUAAGCCCCUCCUUCUCUCCCUGGAUCUGGAGACAUAUGUAUUGGAUUUCAGAAACUGUUUGGAAUUCACCCACUCAAGAGGCAGUAGUAUAGACAAAUGUUUCCCUCAUUACUCCCUGGGAAUCAUAGGGAUUGCUUUUCCAACUUUCUCCCAUUUUCAAGGAAUUUCACAAAGAGGUAAAUGGUACAUACUGAAUGAUCACUGACCUAUUUUUCAAUGUUGUUGAACUUCGCGAAUAGAUGAAUGUUUGGGCUGACCGGAAGUUGGAAGUAUGUGUGCUGAGCGGAACCACUACAAAUGAUCAAAUCAAGAACUAUGAGGCAAGCAAGUACUAGACACAUAGCUCUUAUAGGUUGAAUUCAUUACACAUAGUUUCUUUUAGGGUACUAAUACCAAUCGACCAAUCUUUCAGCGUGCUUGAACUUUGUAAUGAAGUAGAAAGUACAAACUGACCUAUUAGUUCUCCAAAGGUGUCCAAUUUUGCAUUUUUAAGAGCCAGCAAGGAGGCAGUUAAAUUUAGACGAUUGUGUCCAUAGUAGCCUUCAUAUUUUCAAGGAGCUCGUCUGUCAACUCUAAAAUUUAAAGCAAAUUAGAUUUUACACUAAUAAAACAAACUCUAAGUUCUUUUAAAUUUAAACUGUUUUAGUAGCUGGCAAGCCUCUCAAAAGCAAUAAGUUUUCAAAGUUUGUAAAUUCAAUAGAACUGUCGCGGAAUCCAGGAAUUACCUUGAAAAAACGUUUCUGAAGUGUAAAUUUUAAGGAGAAACGUGUUUAUUAGCUUAAGGUCUUGUCCACAAGAGCACAGUUUGGACGAAUUAGUUCCAAGAACUGGGAGCUCAAGAAACGAGUUUUGGCUGAAUUAUAAUACGUUCCUGGAACAAAUUCGCCCAAAGUUACGUUAAUUUGCUGGUGUGGACAAGGCCUUCAAGAGCUCAAAUACCUUGUUUUGAUUGUAAAGUGGAGAUUUAAAGUUUCAGUUGUAAAAGAAAGGUUUCUAUUUGCCUAGCUUGCAACGUCAUAUGAGGAAACCACUCUUGGUUUCAACCACUUUAAAUUCAAUGCAAUACGGCCACCGUACAAUCCACAUCAUGUACAAGCGAUUUCAUGAAAAACGACAACAAAAUUUGUUUAAAUUUUUAGUAUUUCAUUUGAAUUAAAAUCUCGUUCAUUUCAUUUUGUUUUAUUGGAAGAUGUUUGUUCGUUGGAAUUUAGUUUUGAAAAUAAAAAAACUAUCGAGGAAAAAACUGAUAAGAGGUUUUCUGUUUUUUACAUCCUACAUAGAUUAGAUAUUUUAUUCUUCACGCUUGUGGUACUGAAAUGUAAGACCAAUGCACUAAUUGAACUUCGUUCAGUGCACAUUAGUUAAACAGCCUCGAGUCUUCAGUAUUUUAGCAGAAAAGUAGCAGUGAAUAUUUUUUGGAGCAGAGAAAUCCUGACUAUAAAACUUCUACAUGAUUAAUCAUGGUUUG